rnacentral:lncRNA from 1 species
GAUUAAAUCCUCACCCAUCUUUUUCAAAGGCGGCCAACUGCCCUCUCCCCAUCUUCUACCAAAGUUGUGAUCCCAGUCAAGGUUGUGAUUUUGAAGGCUCUCUUCCUUGGGUGUUUAUUCUCUCCCUCUUUCCUUUAUCUGUUCCAAUUUGACCCCAAUUCUUAUUUUAGGAUUGUGAUUAUGCUUUAUCUGUUCGAAUUUGGCCCGAAUCCCUGUUUUAUAGAGAUGUUUUAUGAUCUAAUAUUGACAAUUUGAUUGUUCAUAUGUAUGUGGAGAUUAUAUAUAUAUAUAUAUAUAUAUAUAUAUAGUUUUAAUAAAGAAGUGUUAUUUAAGGAGGAACUCUAUUUAAGAGUAUUGCUCUUGAUCCUUGCUCUCUAUAUAUAUAGUCCGCUUCUCCAGCGAACCGGAGGGAGCGAACUAUGAACGAAUAAAAAAAAAAUCGUUGCUGUACAACUUUACAAACUUUUAGUGACUACUGUACGAUCGAAGGGUGCCUUAACUUUAAUUGUUUACAUUUGAAACUUUCACAGCUGUGUACAUUUAUUUUUUCCUAUAUAUAUGCAUAUAUAUGUAUUAUAUGAAACUUUGUUGGAAUUUUACUGUGAUUAACAAAAACCAGCGAAACUGUUAUGCAAAUUAAGUAAUAAACUACAUCAAGCUAAAGUAAUAUUUAUGAAUACUAGCCUAAGACAAAGAAUUUGACAUGAUUAAGAAGCAUAUUUUGCAUACUAAAAUGAGUUCUCAUGUUAACUAAUGUAGCAUAACCCAUAGAAGGUUCUUCAUUAUUGAAAUGUAUUUUUAAUUUUUGAACAAAGGGGGUAUGCAGAAACAAAAAUUUAGUUAGAGUAAAAAAUAUUGCAGCUGUAAGUAAACACGGAGUAUAUAGUAUUAGUGUUUAGUUUACCUGAAAGUGUAAAGAUAAUCAUUGACCAUGUAUUAAAUUGUGUGCUUACCUGUUUUCGAUAAGUAAAUACAGGACUACAUAAAAUGCUUGUAAAAUUUAUGUGAUUAUAUCAUAUGUUGGGUAUAUAAAUGCACUUGAUAGUGUUAAAAGAUUUAUAUCAUGAUGCUCUAUUUGGAGUUUUUAAGUGUUCAUAUGUAUGUCCUGCUUAUUUUUAAUGUUAUGUUUUUAAUUAAAAUUUUUUUAUUUUGCUUGUUUUGUUUUAGAAACAAAGAUUGUAUCGUCUGCCAACACUGUAUGAAUUAUAUAAACAAACUCAUAUGAGGAAGAAGAAGGGUAGUGAGAAAAAAACGCGGGCUUGUGAUGAAGCAAAGAGGAAAUUGGUAUGAUUUUCACUCGUAAAAUCAUAAACUUUGUUUACUUACUGGAAAGUGGAGAUUGUUAUUCGUUCUAUAGGAGACCAAGUGCAAGCGUUUUAGUCAUAUUCUUUGUGUAUUGAUGAAGAUAACUCAUGUAGCUUUCCAUUUUCUUUGAUUUAAUAUAGUUGUCAUCUGCAACGAGAACUCCACUUUUCCUUUGGACGACCAAGAAGUCUACCCUUCUUCAAGCCUCCAAGCCAUGACUCCAAAUUUGGAUCAUCUAACUCAUGUGCACUGGCUUUAUCUGUUUCACCAUGUUUAGCUAAUAGCCUUUUCCGAUAAAUGAAACAGGCUAUUAGCUAAACAUAGUGAGAGAGAUAAGCCAGUGCAUGAGUUAGAUGAUCCAAAUUUGUAGUCAUGGCUUGGAGGCGUGAAGAAGUGUAGACUUCUUGGUCGUCCAGAGGAAAAGUAGAGUUCUCGUCGUGGUUUCUAUUGUCCAUCUUUGGUUGCAGAUGACAACUCUAUUAAAUCAAAGAAAAUGAAAAGCUACUUGAGUUAUCUUCAUCAAUACACAAAGAAUAUGGUUGAAACACUUGCAUUGAUCCUCCUAUAGACCAUGAUUUGUUUGCUUCAUCAAAUGCAUCAACUUAUAUUCCAACGGAUAACUCGGGCCACACAUGCUGAGUAUGAUGACGACUCUAAGGAGGACUCCAUGAAGAAUUUGAGAUGAUCUAGAUUUCCUUUAAUUAUCAAGUUAUUAGUUUAGGAGUUCUUGAUAUAUGUUGGGUUAAUUAAUUUAAGAGUUCUUUGAUAGAUGUUGGGUUAGUUAAUUGUUUGAUGAAACUAUGACAUGUAGCUAACCUAUCUAAGUAGUUGGUUAUGAAUUGAUUUUUAAUUAAAUGGAUCAUGUUUCUUCAUUUUGUAUGAUUUUACAUUUCAAAUUUAUUGUAAUUUAUGGUAUUUACAAAUUUGAAGUAUAAAAUUGGCAAUUAAUUAUAUUUUAAUAUAUGAUUUUUGUGACAUUUUAAGGAUACAUUUAUUGCCUUCUUGGUUUAACAAAGAAGAAAGAAAAAAAUUCUUAUUGUUAUUAGGAUUGUGACAACUCUAUAUGGUAGCAAUGGCAGUUUGGCUUUGAAACCUGCAGACCUUGCAGACAGGAGAAUAGAGUGAUGGAG